rnacentral:rRNA from 1 species
GAGUCAGCCAUCUCGCGUUCGAGAAUGGUGACUCAAAAAUUGUUAGAACCAGAUAGGAAGUUAAAAUGGAAUGAAUAAAUGUAUCUAUAGGAUAAAAUCCUAGUUAAACAAAUUCAAAAAUACCCUAGUUAACUAGCUUUUAAGUUUCCUCUUGUACCAAGGCACACUUGAGUGCACUUAUCAUAAUCCUUUUUUAUUUUUUAGAUUUUAAAACCCCAUAGUUUGGACCUGCUGGUAAGAUGAGUGCACACUUCGAUGCACUUCAUAACUGUGGGCACUAUAAGAAUCACUUUUUUAUGUUAACUCUGGUAUGAUAAUAGCUUGUAACAAAAGAUACACUUUGAAGUAUGUGCUCAUAUAACCAGCUGAUACAUACAAUGUUUUUUUAUAAGUCUAAAAUAAAAAAAAGAACAUAAAAAAUCAAUGAUAAGUAUUCCCCACGCGCACCUUGGUGCAAGUGGUUUACGCGCAGGUAGUUAACUAUAGGAUAAAUUGUUAGAGCCAUAUCCAACGUUAAAUUGUAAUAUGAAUGAAUAAAUGUAUCUACAGAUUAAAAUCCUAGUCGACCUCCGAUGUGUAAUGCGACAGUAUCGGCGUGGGUCCUGACCAGGUGGUCUUCUCCCGGUGCCCGGUCUCGGAUCUCGUCGCACCCGUUCAAACUGCCCGAUACGAAGCCACGGAAUUCCGUAAACGGAAACACAGAUACUGUGCACCCAGGUGUACAGUCAAUGGGCCCCGUCCACGGAAAUACCGUGGUUUCGACGCAACGAGUUUGCCAACCGCGCGUACAAGGUCAUCGGGCCGUGGUAUGUGGUCAGAAGCUCAGAAGUUGGUAAAGAUUGUCUCACUUUUGUCUCGUGGUCUGGUCGAAGCUGGUAAGGCGCGGAAGGAAGGGAAUAGACCGGAUAAAGGUCGAGGUAGCUCUCUAUUAACCGACGCCGACAUGGUGGCGCUAUGAGUGACGCGACGGUACGCGCGAGACAGAGCCGUCGGUAGCAGGAUCAACGAUCUCGGUUCUUAAGGCAGGGGGACGGGGGUUCUCGCUGUGGGAGAAGGCCAAUUCUUCUUCGUCGUCGUCGCUCGCUACCGCGACCAGCCAGUCAAGGACAGAGAGAAGGAACGGCGGCAGGACCGGACCAAGCGGAGGCGGAGGCGGAGGCGGAGACGCGGAGCGAAGUACAGACUGUGGCAGAAGGUCCGGUCGUGGCCUAGGUGCCCCUCCUCGAACGAAGUCUAUCUGACGGGACACCUGAAACUCAUGGUCUUGAUGUGUUAGUAGUAUUCGGCUACGUUUCCCGGUGUAAUGGGAGGAUGCCUUACGACACUACGAAAGUCCCUAAAACGUACGGGUAAACGACACAUAUAGUUGUUGUUCCCGUGAUUGACACGUCUGUGUUACUAUAGGCCGUAGUUGAAGAAAGCGUUCAUGGGUAUUCUGGAUAAGUGGCUACUCACGGUGUAUCCGCUCCUUCCCCAAAGGACGCUUCCGCAGGGUUCCUAUCUGUGGCCGCACAGUUCACCACCCGUUGCUCGAGCUCCCUCAAGUCGAAGAAAUUAACGAUAUAACACACCUGAUCCUCGUAACAAGAAGGUAACUCACUAUGGAACGAGAGUUGAUUGAAUAUAACUAUAUAUACGAUGAUCUUCCCCGACCUUUUAAUCUCAACAUAACUGAUUUAAUAGAAUUUACCGUCGACUAAAUCACAUGGGUCACCAUCAGAGGUAAAUGUUCCUUUUAGUUAUGAAUCUAAAAAAAAAGGUGGUAAUACUAUUACUCGAAGAACACAUGCACCAUCGUAAAAGUAUGAUCAUCGUACUCGUAUCCUUAUCUACUAAAUCUUCUUUAUUCAUCUUUUUGACACCAUACAGUUACUUUUUUUUCCUUGUUCAUCUUGUUUGUGAUCAUCUUUUGUCCCGAAAGCAAGUCCGUACCGUUCGGGUAAUCAGGGCCAAGUCAGUGCUUGGCCCUGGGUACCCCCGUAAGCAGGGCCAAGCACUCGGGUCCCCCGGCCGGCCCCGGAGCACCCGUAACCAGGGCCAAGCAUACCUUGGUAAACAGAGCCAAGCUCCGUGCUUGGCCCUGAUUACCCGGAGCGAGGACCGGGUGUUGGUAACCAGGGCCAAGAACCGUACUUGGCCCUGUCUACCGACCCGAAAUCAGGGCCAAGGUCGGUGCUUGGCCCUGUUUACUCAACGGAUAUAUAUGGGGUAGCGGUGCCGUCUCGUGAGGUGUCACGAAACAAAAAAGAUCGGCCACUCCACUCCCGUAAACCCACGAGAUCGAGUGGAGGAUACGUGUACUCCACAAGCUACUGUACAGACUCGGUGUGAUCAAUUAGAAAGAAGAGAGCUUUGAGCUGGAGGCUCGAGGUAAAAGGGGAUCUAAACAGAUCUAAAUCGCCAGGCAGUGCAGGGUAGGGGCAGAAGUGGCGGCAGCUAGCGGGCGCGGCUAGAGCAGCGGUCGUGGUGGCACACGCUACCAAAACCAUAGGCGGGGGCAGCCGGGAGCAGGACAGAUACUAAGCCUACACCUCCACCAACUUGGCCUUUAAGAUUGGCUGGGAUAACAGCUCUCCAAUUUAAAUCAACUUCUUCUUUUGUUAAUGAACUUCCUUUUUUAUUUUUUUUAACUCUUCCUCUUCUACUAUAACCUCAACGUACAACGCCUACAGCAGCUACUAGUGUUCUAGUUCUACCUACGUUACGUGAACUUCUAAUCUUUCUAAUCUUUUAUACGGUAAGUAUGGCUCCGAACCAUAGUAAUACAGCAACCUAGUUAACAAUGGAACCAACGCUAAUACUAGCGUAAACAAAAGCGUAACUUUACAAAAUGUAUCAAAGUUACAUACCAAAUUAAUUAAUCUACGAGACCUCUCGAUAUAUAUAUAUAUACAACAAUCUACUCUUGAUACAUACAUGAAACCAAGAUUACACUACUACUUGAAGAGAAUUAAACCAGUGAAUUAAUAGAUAAGUACUACAAGACAUUACCAAAAACUGUGUGAAUUAAUAUAUUACGUGCGUCUACUUGGCCGUUACCUACAUGCCACUGUCUGUGUGGAGGCUCAUGUAAUUCCCGCACGUACUAAAAGAGCUUCACCGACUCCGUUUGUUCGUCUUACCAAAAUACACAACAGGUACGGGAUGUACAUCCUUAUGCUUCAGAAUGAGACUGGCCUUUUAGGAAGUGUGGGUGGACGAAAUGUUCCCAAAGUACGGUGUGAUAUUACAAACCUGCUCCGUGCCUCUUUACCCCCAAUACUACUUUCUGCCGCUUCUUCUUCUCCUGCUACUGUUGAUACACGGGGGACUUAUGCCACUACGACGUUGCCCCCUUCGACGACUUCUAGUUCUCCUUGGUCUGCUACACGGGUUACUACGACGUUCCCCCCUUCGACGACUUCUAGUUCUCCUUGGUCACGGGCUACUACUACUAGAGGCGACCCAGUAACAGCUACGUUCCUGCGUUACGCUUUCAGUUUUCCUCUUCGACUUCAAGCUAGCGUACAAUCUCCUAGUGUUUUUUCCCAACAUGGGGUUAACGCUUCUACCGUUGUGUUUCGAGCCAUGGCAUGACCUUAACGACGUCACCUUCCGUCUCUUACGACACGGACUGUUUCCUAAACUCUUCGAUAACUUUUAUAACUUCUUCUUCGAAGGUUUCCUAUUGCUUAACGGGCUGUCAUGUAUGCGUCGUUUCUUCCAGCAUACGGGAGAUCCUAACCUCCACGUCUUCUAUGUACGUACGGGAUUACUGACGUAGGAGAUGGCGCCACGCAUGUUCCUAGACUUGCGUACGGGCCAUACGCCACGUAACGCCAUAUUCUAGUCUGCUCUACUGGGACCACUACAACUGCCACUCGGGGGGGUCCUUCUCCCAAGGACGCUUCCACUACACCAUACGAGGAUAUUAUGGUGCCAACUUUGCAGACAAGUCUUUGCUUCUCGUACGGUUCAACUACGCUACCGUGUCACUCCUGGCAUUCUUUCUGCCCUUCAACUCUCGUGGGCGACUGCCCAGCAUCACCUCUUUUUAGCUCUCUUUCAUGACCCGACUCAAACGUUGACUGGGUUCCUUGCAUACCAAACCAAAUUCGCGUCUACCGUAAUUAGGAAAGCCCCUCGUCUCGUCGUUAGUGUUGUGGACCGGGCACUGAGAUACAUACAUAUUGGAAGGAG